AUUUUCUUUCUCCACAUAUCGCCGCUUGGAGCCGUAUGAAGUCCAACCUUCAUCUUAUUUGCCAUGUUAACCCUAUUUCUCAGCUUGCAAAGAGACAUAAUCCGGUGGAACAAGAAUCUCAGAAGUGGUUUCAAUAAAGGAGCCUGAUAUUAUGGUAGCUCGCAACUCUCUUGCGAAAUUUCAGGUUUGAGGAUAACUUUUUAGCAGUUACAAAGAGAAAAAUUUAGAAGG